rnacentral:tRNA from 1 species
AGCCUUGAGGUGAUUAGUCAUAUUGAAUUGCAAAUUUAAAGGAGCAGCUUCAAUCCUGCCGGGGCUU